CGUUAGCGGCGGACGGGUGAGUAACACGUGGGUAACCUACCUAUAAGACUGGGAUAACUUCGGGAAACCGGAGCUAAUACCGGAUAAUAUUUCGAACCGCAUGGCUCGAUAGUGAAAGAUGGUUUUGCUAUCACUUAUAGAUGGACCCGCGCCGUAUUAGCUAGUUGGUAAGGUAACGGCUUACCAAGGCGACGAUACGUAGCCGACCUGAGAGGGUGAUCGGCCACACUGGAACUGAGACACGGUCCAGACUCCUACGGGAGGCAGCAGAA
rnacentral:rRNA from 1 species